rnacentral:rRNA from 1 species
GAUGAACGCUGGCGGCGUGCCUAAUACAUGCAAGUCGAGCGAACAGAUGAGGAGCUUGCUCCUCUGACGUUAGCGGCGGACGGGUGAGUAACACGUGUAUAACCUACCUAUAAGACUGGUAUAACUUCGGGAAACCGGAGCUAAUACCGGAUAAUAUAUUGAACCGCAUGGUUCAAUAGUGAAAGACGGUUUUGCUGUCACUUAUAGAUGGAUCCGCGCCGCAUUAGCUAGUUGGUAAGGUAACGGCUUACCAAGGCGACGAUGCGUAGCCGACCUGAGAGGGUGAUCGGCCACACUGGAACUGAGACACGGUCCAGACGCCUACGGGAGGCAGCAGUAGGGAAUCUUCCGCAAUGGGCGAAAGCAUGACGGAGCAACGCCGCGUGAGUGAUGAAGGUCUUCGGAUCGUAAAACUCUGUUAUUAGGGAAGAACAAAUGUGUAAGUAACUAUGCACGUCUUGACGGUACCUAAUCAGAAAGCCACGGCUAACUACGUG